rnacentral:rRNA from 1 species
AUGCAUGCUGUGAAAUUUUGCUACAGAUGGAACAUAGGGGAUGGGAGCAGAACCAGGUUCUGGGAAGAUACUUGGUUUGGUACAUCCCCCCUAGCAGUCCAGUUUUGGCUUAUUUACUCUGUCCGCAAUGAGCUUAACAAAAGUGUCAAUGAAGUUUGGGACGGUCAAUGCCUAAAACUCUCUUUUAGAAGGAACUUUAGUGAUAGUCUCAUGGAAUAA